ACGAACGCUGGCGGCGUGCCUAAUACAUGCAAGUAGAACGCUGAAGAGAGGAGCUUGCUCUUCUUGGAUGAGUUGCGAACGGGUGAGUAACGCGUAGGUAACCUGCCUUGUAGCGGGGGAUAACUAUUGGAAACGAUAGCUAAUACCGCAUAACAAUGGAUGACACAUGUCAUUUAUUUGAAAGGGGCAAUUGUUCCACUACAAGAUGGACCUGCGUUGUAUUAGCUAGUAGGUGAGGUAAUGGCUCACCUAGGCGACGAUACAUAGCCGACCUGAGAGGGUGAUCGGCCACACUGGGACUGAGACACGGCCCAGACUCCUACGGGAGGCAGCAGUAGGGAAUCUUCGGCAAUGGGGGCAACCCUGACCGAGCAACGCCGCGUGAGUGAAGAAGGGUUUCGGAUCGUAAAGCUCUGUUGUAAGUCAAGAACGGGUGUGAGAGUGGAAAGUUCACACUGUGACGGUAGCUUACCAGAAAGGGACGGCUAACUACGUG
rnacentral:rRNA from 1 species